GACAGAGGAGGCAAGCGUUGUCCGGAUUGACUGGGCGUAAAGCGUCCGCAGGUGGCCCGUUAAGUGGGGUGUGAAAGCCGGUGGCUUAACCGCCGGAGGUCAUCCCAAACUGGCAGGCUGGAGUCGGGCAGAGGGUGCCGGAAUUGCCGGUGUAGUGGUGAAAUGCGUAGAGAUGACAUAGAACACCUAUUGCGAAGGCAGCUUACUACGCCUAUAUUGACGCUGAGGCACGAAAGCGUGGGGAGCAAACAGG
rnacentral:rRNA from 1 species